AAACAGAUAAACAUUGUGUAUAUUUAUAGGUGUUUGUACUAUUUGUGUUGUAUUUGCAUAUCCAGGGCCGUUUUGUUUUUUUAUCGUUUACAUAGGAGCUCAAUACUGUAUAUAGCUUUGAUAGCCUUUGUAAUGGGCUUUGUCCCAAAGCGAAGACUUUUACCUGAUAACCUCAGCCUGUUUGAGGUUGAUUAAUACAUUUUAAAGCUGGAUGUGGCGUUUUCAUUUUUCUCUAAUAUGUUCCGCCUGUUUUGUUUUUUUCUUGUUUUUUUUUUUUCUUUUUUUUGCAUAGUGCCAAGUUUGGCUCCACUUGGGUGGGGUAAGUUAAAGCUGAGCAACAACAAGCAUCUACACACACACACACACACACACACACACACACACGUGCAUUUCUGUAGAAUAAAAAUAAAGAAGCCAACACAUUUGUAUUUGAACUAAUUUGAAAUGUUAAAUGCAAAUAGCUGCAGUAUUUGCUUUAAUAGCCUUUGUAAUGGGCUGUGUCCCAAAGUGGAGCUUUUUACCUGAAAACCUCAACCUGUUUAAGGUUCAUUAAUAAAGUUAAAAGAUGGAGGUUGUGGUAAUGCCAGUUGUUAUUUUUCUCUAAUUUGUUCAGCUUGUUGUAAACUUUAAACCUGAUUUUUUUUUUUUUUUUUUUUUUACAUAGCAUUACGUGGUGCUCCAGGUAAGAAGCUGAGUGACAACACACAUCUACACACAUGUGCAUUUCUGAUAAUCAAAACAAAGAAACAAACAUAUUAGUAUUUGAGCUGAUUUGAAAUGUUAAAUGUCGAACAUUUACUGCACAUUUGCUGCAGUAUUUGUUUGCUGUUUGAUAGUUGCUGUAACUGGCUGUGUCCUUAGUCAGCCACUAAAGGCAUGCAAACAAUUCCUUCCUGUGAAUUUUUUUUGAAUUAUUAAAUAAUUAGAAAUGUAACAUAUUAAAUAUGUGAUUCUAUUACAAUUCAUAGAAGGUCGUAUAUCUACAUGUAGCUCCUUCAAUAAAGAGCUGUUUUCUUCUUAACUGCACAAAAGAGUAAAAACAAUGAAAAAGACCCUUUAAUGAGUAAAUGUGUCCAAACUUGAAUGAUUAAAUAUAGGUGGUGUU
ensembl:lncRNA